UACGUAGGGUGCGAGCGUUGUCCGGAAUUAUUGGGCGUAAAGAGCUCGUAGGCGGUUUGUCGCGUCUGCCGUGAAAGUCCGGGGCUCAACUCCGGAUCUGCGGUGGGUACGGGGCAGACUAGAGUGAUGUAGGGGAGACUGGAAUUCCUGGUGUAGCGGUGAAAUGCGCAGAUAUCAGGAGGAACACCGAUGGCGAAGGCAGGUCUCUGGGCAUUAACUGACGCUGAGGAGCGAAAGCAUGGGGAGCGAACAGG
rnacentral:rRNA from 1 species